rnacentral:lncRNA from 1 species
GGGGCUACUUGAACUGUCUUAAGGGAUUUAUAUCUAUAGUACAAAAUUUGGAAUGAAAAAUAUUCUUCUAGGUGUGCUCAUAUUGUAAAAGGUGAUAAAUUCAAUAAAGCUUAAUAUCCAAGAAUUAAGAUAAAGAUAGAGAAAAUAAGGUUCAUAACCUAUGCAUCUGAUUUGGGAGACAAUGUAUAUGUUUAUAUGGGUCCAGUUU